GUCUUGAAGUGUUUGUUUUUCUUCUCCACCAAUGGUAUUGCUUGCAUUUUCUAAAUCAACCUAUAUCUAUGUCAGCAUAUUUUCAGAUGCAUGUAUCAACUCUAGACUUUAUGACAAGAUGAGCAUGACAGGGGUAUGAUGAUGAACCUGCGACCAUGGAAUAUGACAAGGGCUUCAGGAUAAUAACCAAAGUCGGCCUGAGCCUCCCCCCGGACCGAUACAACAUAGUAUAUGCAAAUUGGUGCUGAACUGGCAAUGGAGAUUCAAGACAUAGCCGACCCUAGGUCACCAAGUUCCGUGUCCUCCAAAACAACAAAUUUUGGGUUCUUGCUCAAGUGAGCAAAAAUAACUAAUUAGAUACUUUGUUGUUUUUCACGUCCAAUUCGGAUCUACCUUUGCCCUGCAUGUGUUGUCUACUCCAAAAAAUAUAUUUUUGCUACUUAUUUCCGAUGCUUGGUGCGGCUACUUAUCUUUCCUUACUUAUUUUAGUCCUAUGACUAAUUUUCAUGCAGUCCUCCAAAUACCCGAGUUGAUUCAUCUGCCACUUGAGCAGAAUUUAUCUGUGACCUUAUGAGGGGAAUAUCUGUUGGGUUUGCCUUUUUCUGGAUGUUCUCAUUGCCCUGAAUUUAAUGGUAAUCUUCAAAUUGUUUUAUACUGAUCCAUGUUGUGCUUUCUUAAGCCCAAUCAACUCCUAAAUCAAACACCUGUGUUGGCUCAAACUGUACAGGAUGAUAUCAUACAUCUUCUAUUCUAACAAUAAAUUUGGAGCUGCUAUGGUAAUUGUGAAAAUUGAUGUUGGUGGUAAUAUCACGAGAUAACAAGUAUUCUUCUGACCCGUCAAAGUAUGUGGACUUGUACACCAUGGUCCAAGACGUUCAAAAUAAAACUGCAAAAGGUUCAUCGAGCUGCACAAAUGGACUUCUAUGGCUCACUAGGUGCUUCACUUUCUCCUGCAUAAUUUGUCACGUUCAAUUCCAGCUUAAU